rnacentral:misc_RNA from 1 species
AAAAAUAUUUGGUCUCGUGCCAAAUUUACACCUGUGUGCACCAUUGUCUGUAUUUGGUAGCUCGAGCGCGCUCCGGAAGCUCAACACUUCCAUUAGGGGCGCCUACCCUUGCGGGUCACAUCCCGCUUGGGUUGGGCUACCGCCUUUUUUUUUGAAAAACCUUUUUUGUUUUGUCUUUUUGUCUGAACGAAGAGUUGAUCUUAAUUGAUUAAUGAUCUGAAAA